ensembl:snoRNA
AGGGUGUGCUCAGAGCUGGGGACCUAAACAAAUGGCUCUUCUGUUUAUAACACCCAAAAAGAAUCUGGGUUCAUUGUGACAAGGGGCACAAAACUUGUAGCCUUCUUAUGAACAUGUAGCCUACACAU